UUCACUAAGCAGCUUAAACAUGCAAGUCGAGGGUAACAUUGUGCUUGCACAGAUGACGACCGGCGCACGGGUGCGUAACGCGUAUAGAACCUACCUUUUACUGGAGAAUAGCCUUUAGAAAUGAAGAUUAAUGCUCCAUGGUAUUGAGUUUUGGCAUCAAGACUUAAUUAAAGAUUUAUUGGUAAAAGAUGGCUAUGCGUCCUAUUAGUUAGAUGGUAAGGUAACGGCUUACCAUGACUUUGAUAGGUAGGGGUCCUGAGAGGGAGAUCCCCCACACUGGUACUGAGACACGGACCAGACUCCUACGGGAGGCAGCAGUGAGGAAUAUUGGGCAAUGGAGGCAACUCUGACCCAGCCAUGCCGCGUGAAGGAUGACUGCCCUAUGGGUUGUAAACUUCUUUUAUACAGGAAGAAACACUGGUAUGUAUACCAGCUUGACGGUACUGUAAGAAUAAGGACCGGCUAACUCCGUGCCAGCAGCCGCGGUAAUACGGAGGGUCCGAGCGUUAUCCGGAAUCAUUGGGUUUAAAGGGUCCGCAGGCGGUCGAUUAAGUCAGAGGUGAAAUCCCAUAGCUCAACUAUGGAACUGCCUUUGAUACUGGUUGACUUGAGUCAUAUGGAAGUAGAUAGAAUGUGUAGUGUAGCGGUGAAAUGCAUAGAUAUUACACAGAAUACCGAUUGCGAAGGCAGUCUACUACGUAUGUACUGACGCUGAGGGACGAAAGCGUGGGGAGCGAACAGGAUUAGAUACCCUGGUAGUCCACGCCGUAAACGAUGGAUACUAGUUGUUGGGCAUUAGCUCAGUGACUAAGCGAAAGUGAUAAGUAUCCCACCUGGGGAGUACGGUCGCAAGACUGAAACUCAAAGGAAUUGACGGGGGCCCGCACAAGCGGUGGAGCAUGUGGUUUAAUUCGAUGAUACGCGAGAACCUUACCAGGGCUUAAAUGUAGUCUGACAGCUUUAGAGAUAGAGUUUUCUUCGGACAGAAUUACAGUGCUGCAUGUUGUCGUCAGCUCGUGCAAUGAGGUGUCAAGUAGUCCUAUAACGAGCCGCACCCCCUG
rnacentral:rRNA from 1 species